UGGCUCUUUGGAUUGGUUGUGCCAGCUUU
rnacentral:piRNA from 1 species